rnacentral:rRNA from 1 species
GACGAACGCUGGCGGCGUGCUUAACACAUGCAAGUCGAACGGAAAGGCCCUGCUUUUGUGGGGUGCUCGAGUGGCGAACGGGUGAGUAACACGUGAGUAACCUGCCCUUGACUUUGGGAUAACUUCAGGAAACUGGGGCUAAUACCGGAUAGGAGCUCCUGCUGCAUGGUGGGGGUUGGAAAGUUUCGGCGGUUGGGGAUGGACUCGCGGCUUAUCAGCUUGUUGGUGGGGUAGUGGCUUACCAAGGCUUUGACGGGUAGCCGGCCUGAGAGGGUGACCGGCCACAUUGGGAGUGAGAUGGUGCCCAGACUCCUACGGGAGGCAGCAGUGGGGAAUAUUGCACAAUGGGCGGAAGCCUGAUGCGGCAACGCCACGUGCGGGGUGACGACCUUCGGGUUGUAGGCCGCUUUCGCCUGUGACGAAGCGUGAGUGACGGUAAUGGGUAAAGAAGCACCGGCUAACUACGUG